rnacentral:lncRNA from 1 species
GGGGAUCACCCUGCCAUCUAACCAGAAGCAUCCAAAAGAAAAAUCAAACCAAUUUGGGGCCAUCCUUUUAGCUUAUUCUUUUCAUGUCCACUACCUCUUCCAAACAGAACCCCUUGUCAAAAAAAAACCAGGACAACUUUGUGGGUUUCGCUCGAGCUUUUCAUCAACCCAAACCACAAUAAACAAAGAAAAAGCAAACAAAAAUUGGGCAGCUUUGUGAGUCUCACACGAGUUCUUCAUCAAUCCAUAACAUCAAGACUGGGGCAGCUUUGCAAAUCUCAUUUGAAAUUUUCACCCUAAUUUUCAUACCCCUGCUCAUUUUCCAAAACAUCAAGCGGGGGCACCCUUUGUGUAUCUCGUGUUUCACCCUGACAUUCUCAUAUCACAUCUCCUUUAAGGAUUAUAUGAGGAACGACUUGUCCAUACAGCUAUCCUAUUCUCUUCUAAACCCUUCUAAACAUCUCUCAUUUUU